GAGGUCUGGCCUGCCCUGUGACUAUAUGUUUAACGGCCGCGGUAUUUUGACCGUGCGAAGGUAGCGCAAUCAUUUGUCUUUUAAAUGAGGACCGGUAUGAAAGGCACAACGAGGGCUCAACUGUCUCCUCUUUCUAGUCAAUGAAAUUGAUCUCCCCGUGCAAAAGCGGGGAUACCCCCAUAAGACGAGAAGACCCUGUGGAGCUUUAGGCACAAGGCAUAUCAUGUUAAACACCCCUGAACAAAGGGCUGAACUAAAUGAACCCUGCCCUCAUGCCUUAGGUUGGGGCGACCAUGGGGAAACAAGCAACCCCCACGUGGAAUGGGAACACUUCUUUUUUUCUCCCUCCUACAAGCAAGAGCUGCAGCUCUAGCAAACAGAAUUUCUGACCAAACUAAAGAUCCGGCAACGCCGAUCAACGGACCAAGUUACCCCAGGGAUAACAGCGCAAUCCCCUUUUAGAGCCCAUAUCGACAAGGGGGUUUACGACCUCGAUGUUGGAUCAGGACAUCCUAAUGGUGUAACCGCUAUAAAGGGUUCGUUUGUUCAACGAUUAAAGUCCUACGUGAUCUGAGUUC
rnacentral:rRNA from 1 species